rnacentral:rRNA from 1 species
CCCACCGCUAUCGGGGUGAGACUUAGGCAUGUUAGUCGUACGCCUCCCGGCCGUCGGGGGAGGAGUGGCGUACGGCUCAGUAACACGUAGUUAACCUGCCCUCAGGACAGAGAUAACUCCGGGAAACUGGGGUCAAUGUCUGAUAGAUGAGGAAGCCUGGAAUGGUUCCUCUUCGAAAAGACGCUGGAACCGUGCUUCCAACGUCGCCUGAGGAUGAGACUGCGGCCGAUCAGGUUGUUGGUGAGGUAACGGCUCACCAAGCCUAUAACCGGUACGGGCCGUGAGAGCGGUAGCCUGGAGAUGGGCACUGAGACAAGGGCCCAGGCCCUACGGGGCGCAGCAGUCGCGAAAACUCUGCAAUACGCGAAAGCGUGACAGGGUUACCCCGAGUGCCGUCCACUGAGGACAGCUUUUCUCUGGUGUAAUGAGCCGGCGGAAUAAGGGGAGGGCAAGACUGGUGUCAGCCGCCGCGGUAAUACCAGCUCCCCGAGUGGUGGGGAUGAUUAUUGGGCCUGAAGCGUCCGUAGCCGGCUCGGUAAGUCUUCCGUUAAAUCCAACGAUCUAAUCGUUGGGCUGCGGGAGAUACUGUCGGGCUAGGGGACGGGAGAAGCCGACGGUAUUUCUAGGGUAGGGGUGAUAUCCUAUAAUCCUAGAAGGACCACCAGUGGCGAAGGCGGUCGGCUAGAACGCGCCCGACGGUG